rnacentral:lncRNA from 1 species
CCAAGCCUUCAUUUCUUGUAUGAUUGUUAUGAAAUGUAUAUCAAAGGUUAAUAUCAGCAAUAUCUAAAAACAAAUUAAAAACAAAUAGGUAACUAGUUUUUUAUGCCCCGCAUAGUGGAGGGGGUAUUAAGUACCCUUGUACGACUGUAAGUACAUCCCAAAGUCGGUUUUCCGUUCCCUUACUUUAGUUUGCCUCAACCAAAUAUUAUGAAACUUGUACACAAUGCUAAUUACCACAAAACACAUAUCAAGUUAGAGUUUUGUUGGUGUCACUUUAACUGUUGUAGAGUUAUACCCUUUACAAAUGGAAAACUUGCUGAAUUUUUCUUAUCCUUUCUAUAACUUUAUUUUGCCUCAACCAAAUGUUAUAAAAGUUAUACACAAUGCUUAUAACUACAAAAACACAAAUCAUGAUGGAAUUUUCUUGGUACAUGUAUCACUUUUACUGUUCUAGAGUUAUGCCUUUUUACAAAUUGAAAAAUUGCUGAAUUUUUCGUUUCUGUUCAUUAACUUAAGUUUGUCUCAACCAAAUGUUAUGCAACUUAUACACAAUGCUUACUACCACAAAACUCUGAUCAAAUCCAAAUUUGUGUAGCGUCACUUUUAACUUUCUUCAGUUUUGUCCCUUUAUAACUUUAUAUGAUAUGCAAGCAGGGGCAUCAUCUAUGUCCCAUGGACACAUUACCCAUUUAUUUUUACAUGAGUUAUGUCAUGAUUUCAAAUGUCAAUUGACUCAAUUCUUACUUACUGCCUAAGUGCAAUUCUUACUUACUGCCUAAGUGAUCUAAUGGUAGCGUGCUUACCUCAACCAGGUCAUACCAAAGACUUUUAAAUUUGUGUUUGCUGUUUCUCCACUUAACAUACAGAAGUUCCAAUUUGGCUUGGUCUGAUGAUUUUGUGCAGAGUUAUGAUCAUUGCCCUUUGAAAAUUCACUCAAUCAGUUUUCCAC